rfam:Triticum aestivum genome assembly, contig: Triticum_aestivum_CS42_TGACv1_scaffold_542708_6DS
AUAAAGUUCCUUUGGGUAAGAAGUACUACUUGUCAUCAAAAUGGAUAAAAGGAGAUGUAUCUAGACGUAUUUUAGUUCUAGAUACGUCCCUUUUUAUCCAUUUUGAUGACAAGUAUUUUCGGACGGAGGGAGCUUAUA